CCACACAUUUAAUAAAACCCACAAUUACUAUUCACAUAUUCAUCAUAUAUUUCGAAACAUGCGAUAGAUGUGAGUUUUUUCGUUAUUAUUUUGAUAUCGUGUUGAACUAUUUUGCGCAUAAAGUUUUGAAGAGUGGGCCAUGUAAUUAUAUAAAUGUCGUCAACAACCCAAACCAUCCCCUAUAAAUACCAUAGAACAUGAACUUGCAGAUGUACAACAAAACAUUACGCAUUUACACGACAAACAUUAGUGAAAGGAGAAACAAUGCCUUCUUCUUCAGUGUCCAUCAUCUCCAAAUGCACUGUCUACCCACAAAACAAAUCCGCCAUUAAAUCUCUUAAGCUCUCUGUAUCUGAUCUUCCAAUGCUUUCAUGCCAGUACAUCCAAAAGGGUGUUUUGUUAUCAAAACCGCACUUUGAAUCCGCAAUUCUCAUCUCUCGCCUCAAGCUUUCUCUUUCUAAAACUCUCUCUCACUUN
rnacentral:lncRNA from 1 species